UUCUCACCAGUUAGUCUUCUUCCUAUCGUCGUACUUUUUUUCAUGGAAGUUGCCUCUCCUUUCCUCCACUCUCCUCCCAUCAUUGGCCCCUUUCUUAUCAUUGCCUCCUCGUUCUUGCCUCUCCUUCCCCUCCUUGGCCCCCUUGCCACUAAAAUCGGCCUCCUUUCCACCAUCUCCCAGCUUCAUAAAAUUGCUCCCUAUCAAGGUGUUCAAUAUCUAAGUCAUUCAAAUUGCUUAUUUGGAGACUCGUAGGCCAGAAGAUGGAUCUUGACAUACUC
rnacentral:lncRNA from 1 species